AUUGAACGCUGGCGGCAGGCCUAACACAUGCAAGUCGAGCGGAUGAAGGGAGCUUGCUCCUGUAUUCAGCGGCGGACGGGUGAGUAAUGCCUAGGAAUCUGCCUGGUAGUGGGGGAUAACGUCCGGAAACGGGCGCUAAUACCGCAUACGUCCUGAGGGAGAAAGUGGGGGAUCUUCGGACCUCACGCUAUCAGAUGAGCCUAGGUCGGAUUAGCUAGUUGGUGGGGUAAAGGCCUACCAAGGCGACGAUCCGUAACUGGUCUGAGAGGAUGAUCAGUCAGACUGGAACUGAGACACGGUCCAGACUCCUACGGGAGGCAGCAGUGGGGAAUAUUGGACAAUGGGCGAAAGCCUGAUCCAGCCAUGCCGCGUGUGUGAAGAAGGUCUUCGGAUUGUAAAGCACUUUAAGUUGGGAGGAAGGGCAGUAAGUUAAUACCUUGCUGUUUUGACGUUACCAACAGAAUAAGCACCGGCUAACUUCGUG
rnacentral:rRNA from 1 species